GGAGGAUAUCCCGAACGGUUGAGGGAAUGGUUUGCUAAACCAUGAAGGCGCAAGUCUUCGGUGGGUUCGACUCCCACAUCCUCCG
rnacentral:tRNA from 1 species